UACGAAGGGGGCUAGCGUUGCUCGGAAUCACUGGGCGUAAAGCGCACGUAGGCGGAUCUUUAAGUCAGGGGUGAAAUCCUGGAGCUCAACUCCAGAACUGCCUUUGAUACUGGAGAUCUCGAGUCCGGAAGAGGUGAGUGGAACUCCGAGUGUAGAGGUGAAAUUCGUAGAUAUUCGGAAGAACACCAGUGGCGAAGGCGGCUCUCUGGGACGGUACUGACGCUGAGACGCGAAAGCGUGGGGAGCGAACAGG
rnacentral:rRNA from 1 species